UGCCACGUGAUUAUCACACACAUCCAAGAGUCGUCUCUGUUAAUCUUUAUUUGAAAUGAAGCAGUUAUGUUAUUAUUCUCUACAAGCGAUAAGAACGAUAAACACGGAGAUACGGAGUUGGACACUUGCAAUACGUGGGAAAAAGUAAAUUUAUUUUGUGUUUUAAAUGACUAUUUAAAAAAAUGUAAACUGAUAAAUUUCUUUGGCAUGUAUAUGUAUGUAUUGUAUACAUCGUGUGUGUACCACCAUCAGGUGUAAUAAACCUUUCCAAAGAUAAUUAGAAUAUUGAUGUGACCGAUCAUCGAUGAUAAAGUGUACAGGUACUGUAAAAUUAGCAAUUGGUUGAAUAAUUUAUAGCUAAAAAGUUUGUUAUAAAUAAUAAAUGUUAUUAGAUAAUAAAAAAUCAAUCAUUUUUA